AUGGCCAAACCCAAUCCAUAUUUCAUGUUACUGGAAAUAAAUAAACAAAGAAAAGGGAUAAGAGAUAUUAAUAAAAACGACGCGUUUGGCAUGUGUCGAUUCGUCUUUGUUCGAAACCAUCUCAGACUCUACCCUCUCGUCCUGAACUCUCUCUUCUCACCAUUCGAACGGAAAGCGCCGCCGCGCCGGACAUGA